GGAAGGAUGAUAGAACGUGACUAUAACAGCAGAUACAGAGGAAGAGGAGGGAGUGGAAGGAUGACAGAAAGUGACUUUAACAGCAGAUACAGAGGAAGAGAAGGGAGUGGAAGGAUGAUAGAACGUGACUUUAACAGCAGAUACAGAGGAAGAGGAGGAAGAGGAGGGAGUGGAAGGAUGAUAGAACGUGACUUUAACAGCAGAUACAGAGGAAGAGAAGGUAGAGAGGAGGGAGUGGAAGGAUGAUAGAACGUGACUUUAACAGCAGAUAUAGAGGAAGAGGAGGGAGUGGAAGGAUGAUAGAACGUGACUUUAACAGCAGAUACAGAGGAAGAGGAGGGAGUGGAAGGAUGACAGAACGUGACUUUAACAGCAGAUACAGAGGAAGAGAAGGGAGUGGAAGGAUGAUAGAACGUGACUUUAACAGCAGAUACAGAGGAAGAGGAGGGAGUGGAAGGAUGAUAGAACGUGACUUUAACAGCAGAUACAGAGGAAGAGCAAGGAUGAUAGAACGUGACUAUAACAGCAGAUACAGAGGAAGAGGAGGGAGUGGAAGGAUGAUAGAACGUGACUUUAACAGCAGAUACAGAGGAAGAGGAAGGAUGAUAGAACGUGACUAUAACAGGAGAUACAGAGGAAGAGAAGGGAGUGGAAGGAUGAUAGAACGUGACUUUAACAGCAGAUACAGAGGAAGAGGAGGGAGUGGAAGGAUGACAGAACGUGACUUUAACAGCAGAUACAGAGGAAGGAAGAGGGAGUGGAAGGAUGAUAGAACGUGACUUUAACAGCAGAUACAGAGGAAGAGGAAGGAUGAUAGAACGUGACUAUAACAGGAGAUACAGAGGAAGAGAAGGGAGUGGAAGGAUGAUAGAACGUGACUUUAACAGCAGAUACAGAGGAAGAGGAGGGAGUGGAAGGAUGACAGAACGUGACUUUAACAGCAGAUACAGAGGAAGAGGAGGGAGUGGAAGGAUGAUAGAACGUGACUUUAACAGCAGAUACAGAGGAAGAGGAGGGAGUGGAAGGAUGACAGAACGUGACUUUAACAGCAGAUA